CACGUAGGGUGCGAGCGUUGUCCGGAAUUAUUGGGCGUAAAGAGCUUGUAGGCGGUUUGUCGCGUCUGCUGUGAAAUUUCGGGGCUCAACCCCGAACUUGCAGUGGGUACGGGCAGACUAGAGUGUGGUAGGGGAGACUGGAAUUCCUGGUGUAGCGGUGAAAUGCGCAGAUAUCAGGAGGAACACCGAUGGCGAAGGCAGGUCUCUGGGCCACUACUGACGCUGAGAAGCGAAAGCAUGGGGAGCGAACAGG
rnacentral:rRNA from 1 species